rnacentral:SRP_RNA from 1 species
AUAUGGGUCCGCCGACAACGCGCCGUGAACCCCGCCAGACCCGGGAGGGAGCAACGGUAGCGGAGAGCGAGUGUGGCGGGCCCACUACUU